rnacentral:rRNA from 1 species
CAGCCGCCACGGGAAUACGAAGGGGGCUAGCGUUGCUCGGAAUCACUGGGCGUAAAGGGCGCGUAGGCGGGUCUUUAAGUCAGAGGUGAAAUCCUGGAGCUCAACUCCAGAACUGCCUUUGAUACUGAGGAUCUUGAGUUCGGGAGAGGUGAGUGGAACUGCGAGUGUAGAGGUGAAAUUCGUAGAUAUUCGCAAGAACACCAGUGGCGAAGGCGGCUCACUGGCCCGAUACUGACGCUGAGGCACGAAAGCGUGGGGAGCAAACAGGAUUAGAUACCCCCGUAGUCCCUGUCUCUUAUAA